UGAGUUAACCUUCAAACUAAAUGUUCACUC
rnacentral:piRNA from 1 species